GAUGAACGCUGGCGGCGUGCCUAAUACAUGCAAGUCGAGCGACCAGAUGAUGAGCUUGCUCCUCUGCCGUUAGCGGCGGACGGGUGAGUAACGAGUGGAUAACAAACCUAUAAGACUGGGAUGACUUCGGGAGAAAGGAGCUAAUAACAGCUAAUAUAUUGAACCGCAUGGUUCAAUAGUGAAAGACGGUUUUCGUGUCACUUUUAGAUGAUGCCGCAUUAGCUAGUUGGCUUGGUAAAGGACCACCAAGGCAACGAUACGUAGCUGGUCUGAGAGGAUGAUCAGCCACACUGGAACUGAGACACGGUCCAGACUCCUACGGGAGGCAGCAGUGGGGAAUCUUGGGCAAUGGGCGCAAGCCUGAUCCAGCCAUACCGCGUGGGUGAAGAAGGCCUUCGGGUUGUAAAGCCCUUUUGUUGGGAAAGAAAAACAGCAGGUUAAUCCCCCGCUGUUCUGACGGUACCCAAAGAAUAAGCCCCGGCUAACUUCGUG
rnacentral:rRNA from 1 species